CAACACUUAAAUUAACUUUUAUUCAUGCCGCACUACAAUAUUUCUUCGCACACCUUUCUUUAUUAAAAUAUUUGAUAUAUGAAGUAAUGUGCCUACACUUUUAACAAAAAUUUACUGCCAUUUUGGCAUUUGAACCGUCUUUUAUCUGCCUUUUGUCUUUAAAUACAUGAGUUAACAUUGUUUUUACAGUCAUUCACCUACAAAUUGCGCGGCGUCAGCCAACCACCGUGCAUCACUUUUGAGUCAUUAUGGUGCUUUGCUUAGUAGCUUUGUGCGCAUUUUCAUUAGAAAGUGUUGGAAACUAUUCGUAUGGCGAAAAACGUGUUUUUGCUUUUAUUUUCUGUGUUUUUACUUUUGGUGUCUUCACCCUUUUCCUAAAUCGACAACAUAACAACAAACAAUUUGCUACAUUGUCAACAAAAGUUGUUUAUACAUAAGUUACCUGCAAACAACUACUGUACUGUAAAUUACCCUUGGUCUUGUUGCUGUUGACAAGUUUCGGUUGUUUUUGUUGGAAAUUGUUGUAUUUUGUGGUUUUAAAAAGUGUAACCACAAUUGUCUGCUCCGCAAAUCAAUGUGGUCGCAUUGUGGUUGUUGUAUAUUUUGUUUUUGCUGUAGUGUUUAUUAUGGACUAAACCUUAGCAAGAAGGGAGAUUUAUAUUACUAGAAUUACGAGUAUCGCAUGGCAGGCAACUAAAAUAUUUUAUUAUUGAAAAAAAAAACAACUUGAUGUUUUAAAAAAUAUUUGAAAUGACUGUUUAUAAAAAACUUUAGACCUACUUUAGACCCAUUAAACAGAGUGGAAAAGGGAAUUCAUCUUAUAAGCUAAUAAAUUUAGAAAAUCGUUAAAAAUAAAAACCGAAAUAAGGUGUGGGUGUUGUUGUAUGAUGCAUCAAAGUCUUUUUUUUUAGCAUUUUUGUGCAGAAGAAUACACGUUAGAAAUUUUUACUUUUUUGAAAUGAUUUCCAAAUUUCUUUGACGUCACAUUCAAGGAAUUUCCAGACAAAUACUCUAAGAAAAGAAAAAAAAUUAAGAUAUUGAUCAAUCAUGCUCUAUCAUUCUCUACAACAAACCAAGUCCGACUAGCAAAUAUUCUAUAAUAUUUAUAACUACAUAUAAAUCACCGGUAUUUACUGCAAUGCAAAAACUGAAAUGAAAUUCAAAAUAUAAUGCAGCUAAAAUAUUUUUCAAAGCACGAUUUCUCCGCAGUUCACAAAUUACACCCACACAAACACAGGAGGCACCCAACCAUCAACUAUUCCACCUUCACUUGGGUCAAGUUCAAAGCUAAAAGGGGCACCAAAACACAAAAAUAUCGAAAAAUCAAUACAAAAACAAAAGACAAAAUCAAUAAGAAAGAAAUAUUGAAAAAAGCAGGCAAACGAUCAGCAAUUUUAUGGACUCUUCACAGCCAACGAUAUCCUGACAUUUAUACAUUCACAGCUACUAAAUACUUGUACAUUGACUCAGUACAUUUGCGAAGCACUUAUUUUCAAGAUCAUUCAUCAAUUGGCCGCCUUCGUCGACGUCUCGCCUUCAACCAACCGCAUAAUAAUCUAAAUAAACACUUGGUCACUCACUCGCAAAUGCCACAACGCUGCGGCAUACUCGGUAUAUAUUACAACAAAACGGUAAAUGGAUGCAAUGCAGACACACUACAUCUGUGCAAGCUGUUUUGAAGUGGGUGAAAUGCGCAAAACAACAAGAGCACACGAAGUUCGCCAAAAAGUUUAUCCAAAUGUUUAUUUUUCAAGAAGAUUUAUUAAUAUGUGCUGUGAAAAAUGGACAAGUGCAAAGAAAAAGAAAAGCAAGUAAAUAACGAAGGAAAUCAGAUAGCAAUAAAAAUCAUGUGAAUGACGAAUAAAGGUAAUAUAUAAUAUAUAUAGUAUGUUUGUUGAAGUUAUGUACACAUAUGGACAUUAAAAUAGGUACAGUUGUUUAAAAAAAUUAAUGACUGUCAACUCGGCAGCAUUCUUCAAAAUUAUUUCAGGAAUUUUUAUGCCGCUACAACAACAACAACGAAUCAAAAUUAAUUACAAAUGUAAGAAAUAAAAUGAAAAUCAUAUGAUUGCUCAUAAGUGGCAACAUUGGUUUAGAUUUAAUUUUACGAAAUCAUAAAUUUAACCAAAAACAAAAAAAAACAGUUAAAUAAUAAAUCUAUAUAUGGUAAAAGUGGCAACACCGCUUCGACUUAAUUUGGCCGAAUCACUGAUGCUUCGACUUAAUUGAUCGAAGUGUUAAAAGACAACAAUAUAUAAUAUAUUGAAAAAAAUUUAACAAAAUUAAAAAAAAAAAAAUUGAAAAGUGGCAAGAUUGGUUUGGAUUUAAUAUUACGAAAUCCCUACUUCCAUUUAAUUUACAACAUCAACAAUUUUCGUAGCCACUAGCAAAUGUUUAAAUCCAAUUUAAUCUAAUCCGAUAAUAUGAGCGAAAAUAUUUGAAAGAGUAGUUCGUACUUGUUCGUUAAUGUUCGUCAGAAAAUAAAUAUUUCAAAGAAAGAAGAUUUUUUUACAUAGAAAAUAAAAUGGCACAAACGAAUUAGGAUUUUCAACUCAAGACCCAAAAAAGUGAACAAUAAAGCAAGUUAUUGGCCAAGAAUGAAAGUACGUUUUUUUUUGUGAAUGCUUUAUUCUUCGUUAUAACCUCGAUCUGGAACAAGACAUUUGUUGUAACAGGCCUCCAACAUUGCGAUACCAGUUCGAUAGUCUGAAACUGCGAGGCCUUCAUUACAGACGUUUUUUCAUCUCAUCCGCAUUUGAGUGAAAUCUUUUUCCAGUGCAUCACUUUUUGAGUCUGGCAAAAAAGAAAUAGUCGCUGAGAACCAAAUCUGGUGCAUGUGGUGGGUAGGGAACAGAGGUGGCGCUCCUUUGAGACCACAGAUUUGAAAACGAUUGAAUGAAAUUUUAUGAAGCUUUGACAAUAGCUUAAGGGUAGUACUCUGAGAUAAGGCGUGGUUUCUCGAUCAGGCCAAAGGCAUGAUUCAGUGCAUGAUUUUACAAAAAAAAUUCAAAAAAGAAAACAACUUUUCAAUUAAAAAAUUCUUAUUUUUCCAGCUUCAAAGCGUUAGUACCUAUUUCAAUGUGCAUAACUGUAUGCUUAUGGGUUAUGAGCAACAUAAAAGGCGUGUCGCAACAAUAUAAUAAUCUUAUCAGAGGCGAAGGUGCGAACUAAGCGCUUCUCAAGUACAUAUGUAACAAUAACACAAGAGUAGAGCGCUGAUAAGGCUAACUAAUAAAUGUUGACGAAACAACAAUUGUUCAUCAAGUGUGCAAAUAAAAGCGACGGAGUGACGAUGUCGAACAGCGAAAUGUCAACAAGGUUAUUUACAGAACUCGAGGUUCGUCAACUCUUCGAAGUGGUAUAAGAACCUUUGUGGAUGCAUAUAAACAUAUAUAUAUAUAUGUAUGUAUGUAAGUAGGUGCCAUAUGACAACGUCCACUUAAUGAAGUGCUAAUAGUGGCCUAACAAGCAAUUCUUUAUCUACUACCACCGACUUAACCCUAAAUAAAUAUGCUGUACCUGCCUGGUAAAUACUUGUUAAGUCUAUAGAUAUUCAUGGAAAUGUACGCCUAGCAAUGUUAUCUCGGGAAUUUUACAGCAACAAUGAGCUAACUCAACAAAUUUCACAUUAAAUCGUUAAACUGGUCUAUAGACUUCCGAGUUCCGAGCAUGUGCUAAGUGAUUUAACCAACAACAAAGUAUCGAUGGAGGCAAAAUUAUGCCACAAAUAUGUGUGUAGGUGUGUAAGUACAUAAUUUGUAUGCGCAUGCAGCAGAAAUGACAAAUCAAAUUGGUUUCUUCUUCACUAGAAUAUUCACAUGUAAUAAAAAGAGUUAUGAGUUAUAAAUGAAUUGGGAAGUGUUUAGGUGUGCGUAAGGCACCAAGGCAGCGGGAAAAACCUAUGUACCUCGUGCAGGUAAAAAAAAACGUGCGCAACUCGUCACCCUUGGUGGGCGCUGCGUAAACAACUAUAUUCCCAUAAAUUUAUAUGUAUGCAGAACAAUGUUAAUUCACUAAUUUGUUGAUUUUCUUUACUUUCUUCUGGAAAACUGUUCGAAUUCUAUAAAAAUUAAUAAGCUAAACAUGUAGUGAUAAACAAGUUUUACUAACGUCAAUUAGAAAAGCGGCAUAUUUAAGUUUUAAUAAAUCGAUCGCCCAAGCGAAUGGCCAUUAUAAUACAGUGGCGGUUAGUAAAAAUGCAGUGCAGCUUAUAUAUCGGAAAAAAUAUAUUUUAUUUUAUGGGUACGAAUUCAAUUUUAUUUCAUGCAAUUUUUAUAUUUUAUAAUUACCGUUAUUCAACUUGAAAUAAAAUGCAACCCUUAAGUUUUACUUUUUAGUAAAUUUUGGCACUUUUGUCGAAUUAAUAACAUAAAAGCAAAGUAUUGUAUUAAAUAUAAAUUGAUUUAAGCUACAAAUUAUGACUUUGUUUGUAAUAUAAUCGAGAGAGAGAGAGAGAGAGAGAGAGAGAGUUGUGAAGCUAUAGGCUUUGCAGAUAGUUUUUAUUGCUGCAGAGAUUGUUGGGACUUGUUCUACAAUAAUUCUUGACACGUUUUAUUUAUUGUUGGAAUUUUUGGCGAAAAAAUUAUUUAAUAUUAAAGUAUUAAAUAUGACUGUAAGUUCACCCAAGCUGAAUUUUUGACAAUCAGCUGAUACCAAUGUGAACUGUAGUGCAAGAAAGAGGACCAAAGAAAAAAGGAAGAUAAUGAAAGCGUAACAGAGCGAAAACAGAGAUAAAGAGUGACUAAGUGAUAAGCUCUUUAAAGAAAAUUACCAAGAUAUUGUCUCGA